AAAUUCUGUUUGCAAUAUUGCACAUCUAUGUUACUUCAUAAUGACAACUAACUGCGAAACAUUUCUAUCAAUAAUUUGUGGGAUAUUAAUUUUUGUUAAUGUGGGACUUUUAAUCAAUACUGUACUGGGUGUUUUCACGCGUUGUAGGGAUCCAGCUGAAGAACUGCAUCCUAAUAUUACAAAAGAAGCCUUGGUACCCUGAGCCUCUUUCUAUGCAGAUCAUUAGAUUGGUUAUUAUUGAUGAUUGUUCAAGGAAUGCCUAAUCAAAUAAAAUAUUUAUUGAUCUCAA